rnacentral:rRNA from 1 species
AGAGUUUGAUCAUGGCUCAGGAUGAACGCUGGCGGCGUGCCUAAUACAUGCAAGUCGAACGAGGUGCUUUUGUAGCAAUACGAGAGUAUCCUAGUGGCGAACGGGUGAGUAACGCGUUGGUGACCUACCCCAAAGUGUGGGAUAACAGUCCGAAAGGAUUGCUAAUACCGCAUGUGGUCAUUGGAUUUAGAAACUGAUGACUAAAGGAGCAAUUCGCUUUGGGAGGGACCUGCGUCCCAUCAGCUAGUUGGUGAGGUAAUGGCUCACCAAGGCGACGACGGGUAGGGGACCUGAGAGGGUGGCCCCCCACAAUGGAACUGAAACACGGUCCAUACACCUACGGGUGGCAGCAGUAGGGAAUAUUGCACAAUGGGCGAAAGCCUGAUGCAGCAACGCCGCGUGUGUGAUGAAGGCCUUCGGGUCGUAAAGCACUUUUCUGGGAGAUGAGAAAGGACAGUAUCCCAGGAAUAAGUCUCGGCUAACUACGUGCCAGCAGCCGCGGUAAUAC